rnacentral:lncRNA from 1 species
CAAGGAAUGCCCGCAGCCCGGGAUUCCUCCUAAGCCGCGUCCCAACUGUGUGGGACCCCACUGAAAAUCGGACUGUUCAACUCACCUGGCAGCCACUCCCAGAGUCCCUGGAACUCUGGCCCAAGGCUCUCUGACUGACUCCUUCCCAGAACUUCUCGGCUUAGCGGCUGAAGACUGACACUGCCCGAUCGCCUUGGAAGCCCCCUAGACCAUCACGGAUGCUGAGCUUCCGGUAACUCUCACAGUGGAAGGUAUACGCCCAGAUGGCCUGAAGUAACUGAAGAAUCACAAAAGAAGUGAAUAUGCCCUGCCCCGCCUUAACUGAUGACAUUCCACCACAAAAGAAGUGUAAAUGGCCGGUCCUUGCCUUAACUGAUGACAUUACCUUGUGAAAGUCCUUUUCCUGGCUCAUCCUGACUCAAAAAUCACCCCCACUGAGCACCUUGCGACCCCCCACUCCUGCCUGUCAGAGAACAAACCCCCUUUGACUGUAAUUUUCCUUUACCUACCCAAAUCCUAUAAAACGGCCCCACCCUUAUCUCCCUUCUCUGACUCUUUUCUGACUCAGCCCGCCUGCACCCAGGUGAAAUAAACAGCCAUGUUGCUCACACAAAGCCUGUUUGGUGGUCUCUUCACACGGACGCGUGUGAAAACCAACAUGGAGAAACCCCGUCUCUACUAAAAAUACAAAAUUAGUCGGGCAUGGUGGUGCACGCCUGUAAUCCCAGCUACUCAGGAGGCUGAGGCAGGAGAAUCUCUUGAAUCCGGGAGGCGGAGGUUGCGGUGAGCUGAGAUCACACCAUUGCACUCCAGCCUGGGCAACAAGAGCAAAAGAAACUCUGUCUAAAAACAAACAAAAAAGAGGAGUCCUGAAUUGUUUAAAUAAGGGAGAAGAAUAACAUUGAUAACAUUGUCAGAUCUGGGUUUUAGGCAGAACCUUUUUAUGGGUAGCAGAGACGACCAAAACAAGUACAAGUAGUCAAUCAAAAGUCACCGAUAUGUCCAACAAGAGAGCCUGCUCUCCCCAGGACAGAGUGAAAGCCCAGUGGCCUCACAGGCACGAGUGUCUGGGAGCACUGCAGGAAGGAAGUCAGAAUCCACUGGACUCCACAACUUCCUGAUGAGUGAGAAAAAUUCUGGAAAACUGUCAGCAUUCUCUCAGAAGGUGAGCAUACCGAUUGCAGAGUAUUUCUACCUUUCCAAGCUUGGCAAUAGUACAAAAAUGAGGUCGAUUCUCUUCACUCUGUGUAACUCACACCACCAGAUGCUGAUGCCCUUAGACUCUUUCACAGCUACAGUUCCCCAAAUCAUUUAUAUCCAGAGGUCAGGCAUAUGGAGCUCAUUAAAUUCCAUACAGCAACAUUGUAACCAUGUGAAACUUUUUGUUUGCAGUGCAAUUUAAUGUUGAAUUUGAUUUAUGAGGCACUGCACAUUCUUAGUCCUAGGAUGACAGCAUACACUUCUACAAGCUUAAGUCAUGGUUUGGGGCAAGGGGGAAGGCCUUUGACCAGAUGUUGGAAUUGGAAAUCUGGGCUUAUGCUAAGCAUUUGCGAAGAAGGGAGAGCACCACAUCUUAGAGAAGGUCUAUCCCAACUUGACUGUUAUAUCACUGAGGAAACCAAGACCUAGAGAAUUUCUUUUCCUUUUUCUUUUCUUUUCUCUCUUUUUUUUUUUUUUGAGACAGGGUCUCCCUCUCUUGCCCAGGCUGGAGUGCAGUGGUGCGAUCAUGGCUCGCUACAGCUUCAACCUCCCAGCCUCGAGCAAUCCUCCCACCUCAGCCACCUGAGUAGCUGGGAUUACAGAUGUAUGCCACCAAGUCCAGCUAAUUUUUGUAUUUUUUUUGUAGAGACAGGGUUUCACGAUGUUGUCCAGGCUGGUCUCGAACCCUUGGGCUCAAGCAAUCUGCCCACCUCUCAAAGUGCUGGAAUAACAGGCAUCCUAGAGAAUUUAAAUGACAGAGGCAGUGGCUGGAACCCAGGUCUCCUGAUUCUCAGCCCAGUGGCCCUCCUUCUCUCUCCCUUGCCUCUCUACUAUUCAAAAUACAAAAAUGAAGAGAAAAUGGGCCUUUCUUAUUCAUGCGGAAAUUCAUUCCAACUUGACAGAAAGGUACCCAUGUAAAAUGUAUUGUUAACUUCAUAUCCUAGUAUAUAAAUAAGAGAAAAUCAAUAAAG